AGUUAGAAAGCGAAAAUUUGCUUUUAGUUUCGACCUAAAUCUUGAUCUACAUAAUGAUCUCUGACUU
rnacentral:tRNA from 1 species